CCAGCAGUGAUGACCAUGGAAAACUGCCACUGAGCCCCGCUCCCUGCCCAGCCCCAGCCCGGGGUUUGGCUAAUAAGAACCAGCUGGGUUUUUCCACUCUGAUAGCUGUGAGAAACUGAUGACAACCUGUUUGACCGCUGACCUCUGAACUUGACCCCCCGCUAAUACCUUCAGCUGCUGAUUGUCAUGGGUGGCUGGCAGAGCCCUUUGUCUUUCGCUGUUUUGGAGUCCAGACAGAUAAAUGAUUUCUAUUUGUCCUUUGGCGCAACGGAAGAGCUGAUCGAUAUUAUCCACGAAUGAUGUCAAGGAUUUGUCGCCACAGCUUAUGAAUGACAAAACACUACCCAAAAAAACACCUUUUGGGGCAAAAGAUUGAAAGCUGGAAAGGUUUAUUGAUUUUUGCUUUCUUAAAUAGCAGCUCAAGCCACAAAAGAGAAAACGAAAAGCUUUGUGUGCUAAAAUGCAGCAAAAAGCUUCCUCGAGAACAACGAUUAGAUCAGCUCUUGCAUUUAAGUACUGUGUGCCUUGCCACAGUCAACUGCUCAAUUUUGUCUGCUAAGCCCACUGCAAUUUCCACCCAUUUUUCCUUAUUUCAAAAGCCCUCGUAUAGUGAAAUACCAGCCAUGGAAUAAAACGCUUCUCUGCCUUUGCCCACUGGUCACUCGGGAUGAGCCGGUGCAUCUCCAGCGUGGGCAGGCAGCUCAGGAGCAGGAGGACAGCUCAGAGCAGCAGGAGGACAGCUCAGGGAGCUGAAGUUCUACAUUUCAAUAUUUUUUUUGCAAACUCUUCCUUUCUUUGCAGACGCAUUUUGUUUAAACACUUUCUGCACGCGUUCAGGUAAGGUUCUACAAGCACCGGACCGCAGGCUGCGCAGCCAAGACUGGGGUUUCAGAUGCUGGAGGCGUCCGCAUGGUGCUCAGGCACACAUCUGUGCUCCCUCACACGCUCCCAUCCCACUCCAAAACAAGUCCCACCCAUGAAGUCAGCACAUCUGUCUCCUGGGAGAAAGCCGACCUUCUUGCCAAGCAAUGAUUCUAUGAUUCUAAGAGGGAAUCUCCACAGCUCUCUGGAUCCUGCGGGGCAGGAGGAGCUGCUGCUGCCUGAGGGAACCGGGGCAGGACGGGAUGGACAGGGUGCAGUCACCAGGAGGCUGCAGCUCAUCACUUUUUGGGCCUGUGUUAGCCGCAUGCAGAGCAAAACAGGCACAUUUCUCAUCCACAGCUUCGCUCAUCCCUGCUUCCCAAGUGGCUGCUCUCCACGGCGCCCACCUCACUGCAUUCAUUUGGGAGAUGAAGCAAGUAAUCCAGACACUGGUCCCUUUCACCAACACUGUUCAAACUGACAUUACCAUUUCUGGAUUUCUUUCCUCCUUUCCCAAGUUUCACACUGCCCAGCUCUCCAGCCAAAGCAGCUCCAAAAGUCCCUGGAUGAAACAGGAGAGGUUCUCCUGGCUCCGUGCCCUGCUGGAGGCUCAGUGAACCCUGCUCGGCUCUCGGGCGGGUGAUGGAUGCCCAAGAAGGGUCAGAGGGGUUUGGUUACGACGGCAUAACGCAUGACUCCAGGAAGCGCGUUAGUUUGGCUUAAAAGGCUGAGAUCAGCGGAGCGAGGCAGGGCUUUCCUCAAACACGGCUGAUCCACGCAAAUAAAGAAAGCUGGCAGGAAUUUUGGCUUGGGAAGCCUGACCACUGAAAGGCGACAGCUCUUGGCCACGUUCCCACCGUGAGGACAGAGAACAGAAGAACGGGACCUGACCUGUGGUUCGGGGAAGAGGCUUUCUACGAGGCUCCUGCUGAUUAAUUGCUGCUGGGCUCCUGCCAAACCAGGGAAGUUUCACAUGUAAAGAGGAAAUGUGCGCCUCUCCGCCUGCCCAUGCCUUCUCCAGCCCGUCCUACGAGCACACGGGCUGUCACUCACACGGAGCACUCCAUCCUGCUGCCAGCAUCCCCCCAUCACAACGACCAACACCCGAGGCUCCUGUGGCUGAGGCCGGGGCUUCCCACCCGAGCACCACUCUGCCCUUUGCCAUGCAGCAAAUGCCGCCUGCAACAGCUGAGCGCGGCGAGAAUUACUCCUGCUCCUGCCUCCACUCCUCUGCUUAUUUUUACUGGAUAAAUCAAUGGAGCACAGAUCUUCAUUGCCCUAUUUUUCACAGUCCCUUUUAAAUUUACUCUUUGUUAUUGGUAGUGACUUGAGAUACUUGCAGUUUAAUAAUAUUAAAAAACAGGGAUUUCUUUUUGCCUGCCCUUGGCUUACCCUUCACAUGACGCCAAGUACUGCGGAACGCUACAGUAGCACUUGCUGCUGCUACAGCGGUAGCUAUAAAAUAUUAUAGAGCUGGGUUUCAUUUUAUCUUCCCAACACAGAGCACAGCCGGCACUGCCAAUGCUUUGCAGCCAUUUCCGAGGUGGAAUUGAGCACGUGCUGCUUGCACAGCACGGGGCUGGGGGCUGAGCUGGCGCUCGGUGCCUGCACCGCCGCUGGAAGCCCCUCAGCCCCACACCACGGGGAUCCCGGGUGCCAGCUCCCACCCCACGUCACUGCUCGCCCCGUUUGCCCAUCACCUCAAUGGCCGGCGAUGUGCCGGGCCGGCAGCUGAGCCCCUCUGGCAGCUUAUCUCCAGGGCUAUCGCCGGCACCAUCUGAAGGCGAUUAGGGAAGCGGGUGUCGGGUUUAGCGCAUCAGACGAACCCGUGUGCUCGGCCUGCCAGACCUUGCAAUCUGAGAGUUUAAGAAGAGAGGGAUUUAGGGCUGGAUUCCUUUCCGGGCUUCCAAAAAUAAACUUUUGCAAGCCCAAUUUAAAAAGCAACAUUUGUUAGGAGGAAUCAACUUUGGAACAAUCUUCUGCAUUGCUGCAAGCUCAAGGACUGGAGGUGAUUGUAUGGAAUAGCCAAGAAAAAAACCAACAAACCCAAACAAUCCCCAUUAGCACAUAAACCCCUUAAUCUCGUGCACAGUUAUUUUUUACUCUUUCUCUCCACGUUUGCCACCAAAAUCCAUUGCCAUUUAAUCCAGAAAAGUAGCUAUGAUGUUUUAAUAGCUCAGAUCAAUAGCAGCCCCCUCCAUCUUUCUCUUUUUUAACCUCCGAAAUUAUUUUAGGCAAGGCUAGGUUCAUUUUACCCUUAUUUAUUUAUUACUUAAUCGGUAAAGAACCCUUGAGGCAAAAUAGCCUCGUUUGCAAGAAAGAUCAGAUGCCAGGAGCAGCCAAGGCACAGCCACAAAUCAGUAUGCAAAGCGGCUCCGAGGCACCAGCAUAAAGGAUCUCCGAUACAGCACAUGUGCUAUUUGCUUACAUUACUUAACACACUUUAACAUGUAUUUUUAAACAGAGCAAUUGUUUAUAAAAGCCGUCACACGGACAAGCGAGGAGCUGAUUCCAAAUCAUGAUAAGAAUUUAUGCAGGGAAAGCACACGCGUCCCAAACAUCGCUCCGCAGUAGAUUUUUGCUUGUUAAUGCAUCCCUUGAAAGAUGUCCUGCCUGUCCAGCCAGUGCCACUCCUACGUUUUUCUACCAAAUAUUUAGACUUGUUGCUGUUUGUUGUUAUUAAAAGUGUUGUUUACUCUGGAAUGGGGAAAAGGUGCUGAAGGAGCCUCCAAGAGGGAAGAACUUCUCUCUGUGCAGACGGACUGCCCAGACCUCUGCCUGCUGGAGGUCUGAAGGGACAGGACGAGUGCUGCUGCUCCCCCUGGGCCAGGACCCAGCAGGCAGAGGUGCUGGCUGUGCCCUGGGCUGGGCUCCCCCUGCACACGGUGCCAUUCAUCCUCCCGGGUCGCAGGGACGCGGAGCUCCCACUGGCGGCACGAAGCCAUCUGUUACAGCCUUCAAAAAUCACACGUGAAGAGUGUUAACACUUUGAAUAAGUUGUUCGUUGUUAGAGGUUUUCUUAAGCUAUAUUUCUCCAAUUCUAAUGAUUAAAGGAUUCUCUCAUUUC